GCCAAAGUCCAUACCACGUUGAAAACACCGGUUCUCGUCCGAUCACCGAAGUCUAGCAACGUCGGGCGCGGUCAGUACUUGGAUGGGUGACCGCCUGGGAACACCGCGUGAUGUUGGCU
rnacentral:rRNA from 1 species